UGAAUGAGUAAAAGUAUAUAAUAAACAUAUAGAAAUAAAAAACAUUUUUUUACAUUAGUAAUUCAUUGUGUGCAUAAUUUUAAAUUGCUGUUGACAAUGAAUUAAUUAAAGCAACAAAACAACCUAAAGUGCCGGUGAAGAGUCGAAAGAGCCAGGUUUGGGGUUUUUUUGGAGAGGCGACCCGAAAGAGCCAGUUCUCUAAAAAGAGCUGGAAUUCCCAUCACUACAAGCGUAUUGUUGGGUAAUUGAUAGCGAGCUGAGCUGAGCUGAGCUAACUGUGUUUGUGUUUGCCUGUCUUCAGGAGGAAGGGCGAGACGGAGAGACUGGAGGAGAGAUUCACGGAGUUUGGGGAAUUUAUUGGACACUGACGCAUUACCACGCACCACGGGAAAAGGGAGAGUGCCACGAAGGAAGAUUUGCGCUGUGGAUUGUUGUUUACUCAUUUCCUCACAGUAAACCAUAGCGCUGAUCUACUAUACCAAGGGAUCCGAGUCUGGGUCCGCUAACCACUUCUGACAAGUACAACACAUCAGAUCGUCCUCCAUUCACAAAGCAGAUUUAAUCUUAACAGUGAUGGAAGAAGCAGCUACCAGAACAAGAGGGCGAACUUGCUUCAGAUUCAUCAAGUGCUUGUUUGUCUUUAUAAUUCUGUUCAUCUUAUCUCUUCUGUGCCUUAUUUUCAUGGCAAUCUGGGCCAAGGACCAAGUGUUUCAGCAAAUACAGAAAAGAGUAAACGAAGAAGUUGACAAACACAAGGAAGAUGACGUGAAUAGAAGAGCAGCAAUCACAAAAAUAUUGGAUCUCACAAGUUCACUGGAUAACAAGGAAAAACUGGAAAUAUUCAAGGAAACCCUUCAAACAGCGAUAGAACAGGAAGAGAGACUGAAGGAAGAAUCCAGGUACAAAAUGACAACCCUCUCAAAACAAUUCAAUGAAAAAAGGAAGGAAUUAGUUCGUGAAUUGGAAGAAGCAAUGUUAUUAUCACAUGAUUCUCCACCACUCCAGGAAAUAGUUGACAUUGCAUUUCACAUGUUGAAAAAAACCGGAGCUUACAUAGACAAGAAGCUGGAUUUGCUGCAAAAAUAGAGAACUCGGAAAAGAUAAAUCACAGGAGUAAAUGAUGAGCUUCAGAAAAUUGUAAGAGAAACAAUAAAUUGAACUUGUGUUUCUGUUUUCAUUUGUUGACCUAUGUAACGUAUAUCAUGUAUUUGUGAAAGGACAUAAUCUGAAUUGUUUUUGUGACUUUCUUUAAUUGUAUACUUCUUAGCUGCGUAAGAUCUUGUCCUAUAAUGUUCCCUGAGUGAUAUUAUAAAGUGAAAAGCUUCACUCCUGGUGUGAGGCCUCAGCAAGGCAGUGUAGGCAGCACAACUUGUCAGUUUUCUGCAGUUAUUUACGUUCCAGUGUUGCAGUUGUUUAGGCUGUGUUUAACUUCCUUAUCACAUAGAGACCAGAAAAAGGCAGACCUGCAUAGUGUAUGAUCCGUUCUGUUCUGAAACUAAACCUGAGGUUUCCAAAUCUAGCUAAUGCUUCCACAUGUAUGAUCUGGUGUUGGCAGCAUGUAACCAGUCACAGACAUGAACAGGUCUACUGGCAAGUUGUGCUCCCACCUCAUGGAUUCUCUGCUGACAGUAAUAAUAUUUUGAUCAUAUUUGCUAAUGUGAUCAAAACAAAACAAAAAUGUUUUGAUCACAUUACACAAGAAUAUUGAACACAUAAACACAUAUAGUACAUUGUAUGAGUGUGUGUGUGUGUGUGUGUUUGUUGAUGUUUAAUUUACUUCUUUACUUAGAAGCGUUUUUCUGAUUAGAAAAAUACUGCUACAGUGUAUACCAUUACAUAUUAACAUAUAUUAAUUUAGGUAAUAAAAAUUCUUGGUGAUUUAUGUCAAUUAAGGAUUUGUAACUGUGCAAACUGUGACAUUUAUGGGGAAAUAAAGCGGUUGUGGCUUCUUGGUUCUUAUAAACUUGAACGGUACAGUUCUGUCAUGAAAGUCCAAUCAGUAUCAAACAAUUACAAUUUGAGAUAUAUAAUUAUAUUGUUUAUAAUGGCCUUUUUUCCAUAAAUUUAGCAUAGCAUAUGGUCAUUUUUAAUGUGGUCAUUAUCUCAUAAUUAUGACAUAAUUCAUGAAAUAUAUGAAUGAUUAAUGGGUUAAGUUAUUUAGUUCAACACGAAGGUACUGACUAAGUCUCUGGCUUUAUGUCAUUGAAAGUUUAAUGUAUGGAUGAACUGAGCAGUUGUAAUCAUUGAUUAAAGAGGGUGAAAUUUGAAUAAUACAUAAAUAUAUUUAUGAAAAUCUCAAUCUAAACAUUUGUGAAUAUUUUUUGAGUGGUGUGUAUGGUGUGCUCAAUACACACCCAUGCAGUGAGCUAAUAUUGAGUAUGAUGAUGGAGGACAAGACACUGG
ensembl:lncRNA